rnacentral:rRNA from 1 species
AGAAUCAACGCUGGCGGCGUGCCUCAGACAUGCAAGUCGAACGCGAAAGUUCCCUUCGGGGGGCGAGUAGAGUGGCGCACGGGUGAGUAACACGUAGGUAAUCUACCUUCGGAUGGGGAAUAACAACCGGAAACGGUUGCUAAUACCGCAUAAUGCAGCGGCACCUAAUGGUGACAGUUGUUAAAGCGGGGGAUCGAAAGACCUCGCGUCUGAAGAGGAGCCUGCGGCGGAUUAGCUAGUUGGUAAGGUAUGGCUUACCAAGGCUACGA